UCCUCUGUCCCCAUCCUCUAUCCUCUGUCCCCGUCCUCUGUCCCUGUCCUCUGUCCCCAUCAAAUAUCCUCUGUCCCCAUCUUAUAUCCUCUGCCUCUAUCCCCAUCCUCUAUCCCCAUCCUCUAUCUCUCUCUGUCCCCACCCUUCUCUGUCCCCGUGUCCCUGUCCCCAUAACUACCGUAAUACUACUGUAAUGUUGACAAUGCAGAACAAGGUCUGCAGAUCAGUUCACUGGUCCUCUGUGGUUUUGACUGGUAGCCAUGUUGAGUGUACCAGUCAAAGUGCUGUGGUCUGAGGGGUAUUGACUGGUAGCCAUGUUGAGUGUACCAGUCAAAGUGCUGUAGUCUGAGGGGUACUGACUGGUAGCCAUGUUGAGUGUACCAGUCAAAGUGCUCUGAUCUGAGGGGUAUUGACUGGUAGCCAUGUUGAGUGUACCAGUCAAAGUGCUGUGGUAUGAGGGGUAUUGCUGUCUGUCCCUUUCUAUGUCACUCUAUUUCUAUGUUGCAACUAGACUAGCAGCCUGCUAUGACCUACCACACUCCGUUCUGGUCCGGUCUGGUGCAGAUCACAACAUGGCUGUGUUGGUCUCCCAUGGACUUGGAUAGGCUAGUAACUAGCUGUGUUGGUCUCCUUGUGGACUUGGAUAGGCUAGUAACUAGCUGUGUUGGUCUCCUUGUGGACUUGGAUAGGCUAGUAACUAGCUGUGUUGGUCUCCUUGUGGACUUGGAUAGGCUAGUAACUAGCUGUGUUGGUCUCCUUGUGGAUUUGGAUAGGCUAGUAACUAGCUGUGUUUGUCUCCUUGUGGACUUGGAUAGGCUAGUAACUAGCUGUGUUGGUCUCCUUGUGGACUUGGAUAGGCUAGUAACUAGCUGUGUUUGUCUCAUUGUGGACUUGGAUAGGCUAGUAACUAGCUGUGUUGGUCUCAUUGUGGACUUGGAUAGGCUAGUAACUAGCUGUGUUGGUCUCCUUGUGGACUUGGAUAGGCUAGUAACUAGCUGUGUUGGUCUCCUUGUGGACUUGGAUAGGCUAGUAACUAGCUGUGUUUGUCUCCUUGUGGACUUGGAUAGGCUAGUAACUAGCUGUGUGUCCUACUGCUCUAUGAUCUUAAUAGUGAUGUUUCUUGUUGCUAAGUGCUUCUGGUGACAUAUGUAUGUGACUAUCAAAAAUAACAAUGGACAAUAAUAAUGUUGUUUAUGCUAAAUCAUUCUAAUUCAUAUUGCCCUCAAAGCAUGCUGAUUCGUUCAAGUAUUUUUGGUUAAUUUAGCUGGGGAAAAAAAAAACAUCUGAUAGAAGUUUAAUUGUCUUUAUUUAAAUCAUAUAAAACGCAUGGUUCAUUUAGUUUGGUAUUUCUGGACAGACAACAUCCAUGUCUUGAUUUACUGUACGUUUCUAUUCUGUGUGUAAAUGUUAGACAUUAUUAUAUAGACUGUUGAGUUUGAUUGUCCUGGGUUGGGAUGUUAAUAUGGUGUAUGUGGUUACUAUAGUACAGUUUUAACCAACCACAAAAUGUGACACAAACAUCACACGUCCCUCUUUGUGCCUCAAAUGCUUUACUGUACAUACAAGAAAAUAUACUCUUGUCGUUUUUUUUCUCCAUUGUGGCUUUUACAACAACAAACUCUGAAAUGUCUGUCCCCCAAGGAUUCUGUUUGGAGGAAUGUGAUAUGAAGAUAAACACUAUAUACACUGUCAAACUCUGGUAUUUAUUUGCCUCUGAUUAUAGUGCAGCAAAGUAGAGAACUAAAACAGCAACAGCAAAAUGUGAGUCCUGUAGUGAACUGUACUGUACAUGAUACCAACCACACUUACAGUCCUGAAGGCCCAGAGACCAAUCACACGUACGGACGGC
rnacentral:lncRNA from 13 species